GUUCCAUGAAGCGGCAACAGCCUUCUAAGCUGUGGGUCGGGAGUUCGAAUCUCUCCUGGGACG
rfam:Bacillus sp. VT-16-64 NODE_2, whole genome shotgun sequence.